GGGGAAUAUUGCACAAUGGGCGCAAGCCUGAUGCAGCCAUGCCGCGUGUAUGAAGAAGGCCUUCGGGUUGUAAAGUACUUUCAGCGGGGAGGAAGGGAGUAAAGUUAAUACCUUUGCUCAUUGACGUUACCCGCAGAAGAAGCACCGGCUAACUCCGUGCCAGCAGCCGCGGUAAUACGGAGGGUGCAAGCGUUAAUCGGAAUUACUGGGCGUAAAGCGCACGCAGGCGGUUUGUUAAGUCAGAUGUGAAAUCCCCGGGCUCAACCUGGGAACUGCAUCUGAUACUGGCAAGCUUGAGUCUCGUAGAGGGGGGUAGAAUUCCAGGUGUAGCGGUGAAAUGCG
rnacentral:rRNA from 1 species